AACAAAGGUUUCUGGACUAUGGACACUUGGAACUGAAAUCAUUUGAGUACACUGAUUAUAGGGCAUUAGAUUUAGAAGAUGAAUUAGAUCCUGAUAACAACCUGUUUUUAUUAUCCAACCCAAUAGAUUGCAAAUAUUUAUCUGAAGAUGAUUAUUCAUUUCAAUAGUAGGAGCAUGUAUCGUAACUUCAUCCACAUCAAAGAAUAUUUACAACAAUUUACCCAGCCAUUUCACAUUAUUGGGAUUUCAGAAACAUGGUUUAAUGAGGAUAAAGGCAUAGAUUUCGAUGUAGAAGGUUAUAGCUUGAACUAUGUAAACAGA